rnacentral:rRNA from 1 species
AUUGAGCGCUGGCGGCAGGCUUAACCCAUGCAAGUCGAGCGGAGUGAUGGUGCUUGCACUAUCACUUAGCGGCGGACGGGUGAGUAAUGCUUAGGAAUCUGCCUAUUAGUGGGGGACAACAUCUCGAAAGGGAUGCUAAUACCGCAUACGUCCUACGGGAGAAAGCAGGGGAUCACUUGUGACCUUGCGCUAAUAGAUGAGCCUAAGUCGGAUUAGCUAGUUGGUGGGGUAAAGGCCUACCAAGGCGACGAUCUGUAGCGGGUCUGAGAGGAUGAGCCGCCACACUGGGACGGAGACACGGCCCAGACUCCUACGGGAGGCAGCAGUGGGGAAUAUUGGACAAUGGGGGGAACCCUGAUCCAGCCAUGCCGCGUGUGUGAAGAAGGCCUUAGGGUUGUAAAGCACUUUUAGUGGGGAGGAGGGUAUCUAGGUUAAGAGCUAGGAUAUUGGACGUUACUCACAGAAAAAGCACCGGCUAACUCCGUGCCAGCCGCCGCCGUAA